UCUCUCUCUCUCUCUCUCUCUCUCUCUCUCCCUCUCCGUUUUGCUUCGUCCCUCCUCCAAUGGCGAUGGCCCUGGCAACGGCAAUCUCCACCUCCUCAUUCUCCUCUAAUUAUCGCCGCAUCUUCCUCAUGCCCACUCCUCCUCCGAUCCCCUUCCUCCACCUCCGCCGCCGCCGCCGCCGCCGCCGCCGCCGCCGCCAACGCCGCCUCUCGUGUCUCCCCUCCGGCGACCCCGCCGAGCUCCGAUUCCCCGCCCCUCCAAACCCUAACGACGAGGAUGCGGAUUUGCGGGAGCGAUUCGUACGCACCACCUCCGCCACCGCCGCUGCCACCACCGGAGGAGGAGGAGGAGGAGGAGGAGGAUCGGCCAGCGCAAGGGAUUUCGUCACCCUCGGCGCUUGCGCCGUUGGCCUCCUCACCGGCCUCGGAGUCGUCUUCUUCAACAUCGCCGUUGAUGAAAUUCGUGAUGUCUUUUGGGACGGGAUACCAUUGCGAGGAGCCUCAUGGUUGAGGGAGGAGCCCAUUGAGGAAGUUUGGCCGAGAGUGAUACUAGUACCCGUCUGCGGGGGCGUAAUAGUUGGCAUCUUGAACAGCGCACGGAGCGCUUUAAAGAACUCUUCUGACGGUGUAGUGUCUAAACUGAAGGGCACUCUUGAACCAUUCUUGAAAGCAGUAGCUGCUUCUGUCACUCUGGGAACCGGGAACUCGUUAGGUCCCGAGGGUCCUAGUGUCGAGAUAGGAUCUUCAAUAGCCAAAGGUGUUGGCCGUGUCUUCCAGUGGGAUGGUGGGAAGAAAUUGUCUCUCGUGGCAGCUGGAUCAGCAGCUGGAAUCUCAUCAGGUUUUAGCGCAGCGGUCGCUGGGUGCUUCUUUGCUGUUGAAUCCGUCUUGUGGCCCUCGUCAUCAGAGUCGUCCUCUUCCAUCUCAAAUUCAACACCGAUGGUGAUACUAAGUUCAGUCAUAGCAUCCGUGGUUUCAGAAAUCGGUCUUGGUUCUGAUCCUGCUUUCAAAGUUCCCGAUUAUGAUUUUCGUUCUCCAAGUGAGCUUCCUCUCUAUCUUUUGCUGGGCAUCCUUUGUGGACUGGUGUCGGUAACCUUAUCUGCAUGCACGUCGGUUACUCUUGAGGUAGUUGAAAAUGUGCAACGUACAACAGGAAUACCGAAGGCCGUACUUCCCGCAAUGGGCGGUCUAACUGCCGGCUUGAUAGCUUUGGCAUAUCCCGAGGUCCUCUACUGGGGCUUUGAGAAUGUUGAUGUUCUGUUGGAAUCACGACCACUUGCAAAUGAUGGUCUAUCUGCCGGAAUAUUGCUUGAGUUGAUUGGCGUAAAGAUCGUCGCGACAUCUUUGAGCAGGGCUUCUGGAUUGGUGGGGGGCUACUAUGCACCAUCCCUUUUUAUAGGCGCAGCAACGGGCAUGGCAUAUGGAAAGUUUAUGAUGUCUGCAUUUGGCGGCCCUGAUCCGCUGUUUCAUCUACCUCUGUUAGAAGUGGUGUCGCCUCAAGCAUAUGGUCUGGUAGGCAUGGCUGCGACUCUUGCUGGAGUAUGUCAAGUGCCUUUGACAUCCGUGCUGCUUCUAUUUGAGCUAACACAGGACUAUCGCAUAGUUUUGCCACUGCUUGGAGCCGUUGGUUUGUCAUCAUGGAUCUCAUCAAGACAAACCAGAAAAAAGGCUAGCAAGGAUAAGUCAGAUUCCUCGAAUGCAGAAGCCCUCAGAAGUCAACAACCAAAACCAGAACAGGAAAAAGAUGACGUUGCUGAGUUGUGUAAGCUCGAGAGCUCUCUUUGUGUGUAUGACGAUGGCGAAGUUGGAUACAGUGAUUUGGCAGAGAGUCUCACUGUUGCACAAGCUAUGAAGACUAAAUAUGUUUCUGUCACUAUGGAGACUCCGGUAGUUGAAGCAGUCACUCUAAUGCUUGCAGAGAAACAAUCGUUUGUGAUGAUAACCGACGACGAUAACUUCCUACGGGGAUUGUUAACGCUCGAAGACAUUGAAGAUUUCGGCAGAAUCGCAGUGACUGAAUUUGCGAUACCUAUGGUAGAGGACACGCUGAUAUGUCACGUCUGCAAAAUAAAAGGCGAUAAGUGGAAAAGCGCAUGGAUUGGAACACCCGACAUGACGCUUUCUACCGCCGAAAGGAUCAUGGAUUUGCGCAGGGUGAAUCAGCUCCCUGUUGUUGUAUCACAGCACAUAAAUGGAGAAAGUAAAGGGUACCUAAUCGGUUUGAUCGACCGUGAAUGUAUCAGCAUCGCCUGCAAAGCUGCUGCAGCAAAAGAAUUUCUUGGCCGGCUCCCUGCUAUUACAAGUCCAAAGCAAUAGCAGGCGAAAGGGAACUGCGAUGCCAUGUCGACAGAGAAUCGCAGCUCAUUCCGCAAGCACGCGAGCAAUCAUACAGAAUCACAAAUGAUGCCUCGAAGUACACACCGAGCUUUUAUUUGAGGGUGCAAAUCAUGUAUAUAACUUUCGAUUACGAAAACCCCCCCUGCAUUUGCAGAUUUCGAGCCCUUCUGAAUUCGAAGCACCAGUUACAGUUCUGAUCCCAAAGUGAGAGAACUCGAUGCAGGUCUCAUUCUCUACACAUCCCUAAAUUUGUUAUCUUCUUUCUUUCUUUCGUCUCGCCUUCACCGCCGCACGUGCAGCGUAUCUCAUUUUUGCCGCGACCGAGAGAAUCGCCUUCGACACCGCCGCUGCCGCCACCGUCGUAGGUUUCACCAUCGCCGUGGAUAAAGAGGAGAGGGUGAAAAAGAUGACGAAAUAAAAGGUAAAAAAGUUAUUUUACUCUUUAGCUAACUGUGGUUAGUUUGUUUAACUCAUGGUUAUCAAAAUUUUAUAUACAGAAGAAUAUAUUUGCAAACAUAAUGAAUUUUCGAAAAUCUAAUAACUUAAGUUUUGUAGGGAUAUAUUUGUUAUUUGAUAUCUUUGUUAGGCAUCAUAUAUAAUUAUCCCUAUUUUUUAUUUAUGAGUUC